rnacentral:rRNA from 1 species
GUCCAUGGUCUAAAUACCUUAAAGGUACUAGAUCCCAUAUGAUCUUGAACCAUAAGCACGAUCAGCCCUGGUAAGUGUUUGGAUGAGAGAUCACCAGCAAAUACCAGAUGCUGCAGGCU